ACACCUGGUCCCAUACCGAACCCAGAAGUUAAGCCCGUAAACGCUGAAAGUACUUGGAGGGAAGCCUCCCGGGAGGAUAGGUACUUGCCAAGC
rnacentral:rRNA from 1 species